GACAGUUUUGAGCGUAGGGCCAGGCUAGUCCCCUACGUUAGUGAGAGAGAUACCUUCCGUUAGUUCCGUUAGAAAAUACAGGCAGCAGCUUGGAGCUGUCCCGGACCGUUCCCUUUAACGGGGACUUGACCCUACUGUGUGUGUCUUCAAACUUCGGUCUGCUACGACCACAGCACCAGUAUCAUCGGGGAACCACUUGGACAGACAGACAGAGAGAAAGAUCAGCACACAGCGGGUAAAGGACCCAGCCGCCCGCCAACCCCUCCCCCCUUCCCCCCCCC